AUAACCGAGGCGGUGCCUCAGGUUUGCCUAACAGUAAAGAAAAAAUAAAAGAAAUUAAAACGCCUCUUUUAAGGCUAUAAUCAAAGCAAAAACCUAAGAAAACUUAAAAAAGCCUAAAUCCUAUCGUCAAUCAGAAUCACAUUUCCUCUUUCUUGCAUCUAUAGUUGUUGUGGUGGAGGAUACUGGUUGUGCCUUUUCAUCACCUCAAAAGAGUCUCAUUGAAGCGCCAUACCAGAUUUCUCCUAAAUCUGAGUUCAUCAGAGGGUGGUGAGGACAGACGUUUUUGUGUUGCAUCCCCGGACUCGAACAAAAAUGUCCUAUUUCUACCGAUUCUAGAGUCUUCUUUGGUCGUUGGCAAUGAUGGGUUCAAUCUUUGUUGGUACUUCUUUAAUCCAAUAGGAUGGGUUAUCUAGGUUGUAUUCUCGAGUUGCAAGGGCAUGUGCUUAUUCAUUUGUCUUUCGAGGGGUAUACUCAAAAGAUAAGGGAAUCACCGUCGACAACCAGAUCUCGAAAGCCCAUUUCUUCCCCAAAUAUGACGGCAUGUAGACACGCCUUCACUUCAGUAGUGGUUGGAUCCCCUAUUCUUCCUAGUGGGUAAGGACAUGCUCCCAUAACAAAUCCUUCAUGAUUUCUUAUAACAACUCCCACAGUUGCUGUCAUGUCUUGUUGUGAAUACGCUGCGUCAAAAUUGGCUUUGACUUGAUCUUCCUUGGGGAGUCUCCAAAAUACCUCUCUUGGACUGAGUCUAGUUUUUAUUGAGGAUUUAACUUGCCCUAACUCUCGUAAAUAGCUCUAAUAAAAUCGACAACCUCUUGUACCCUUUCCUUUUUUCCUUCGUAGUAAAUUCUAUUUCUAUGGUACCAUAUUGCCCAAAUAGUAAUUGCCAUGGUAGUACAUAUUUUAAUAUUAUUCAUUUGGAAGAAAGAGGCUGACCAUUGUUUCCAUGUAUGACUUGCGUUUAUGUGCGAGGUGUCCAACCCAACUUCCUGUAGGACCUGUUUUGUGAAUUCGCAAUCUCGAAAGAGGUGUUCCACGGUUUCUUCUUCAACUGAGCAGACUGAACAUGCAGCAUCGCUCCUGAUUCUUCGAAGUCUAAGAGUACUGAGUGUCAGAAGAAAAUUAUUGGCAACUCGCCACAGAUGUAUUUUUAUUUUACUUAGGAUCAGGAGAUUUCAAAUCUUUGUAAAAUAUUAUUUUUUGGUAAUUUGGUCUGUAAUAUAAUCCUGCAGGUGUAGAGUCUUAGUCAUUAGCCAUUUAAAGCCACUUUGAACUGUGUAUUCGCCUAAUUAUCUCUAUAUUUUUUAAAACGACAACUUUAACUUUUUCGUAUUUUUAUCAA